CGCGCGUGCACCGACCUCCACCUCCUGCUUGCCACGGAGCUGCCUCCUCCUCGCGCCCACAUAUGCCAUGGAGACACCGUGGAGCCCUCUUUGUUCUUCCCCCAUGCUCAUUCCCUCCCAUGGAUCUCUCUCUGCUCUCCCUCUCCACUAGCAACCGAGAGCGCGCCGUCGUGGACCACCGCGGCCAUCGUCGUUGCGCCGCCUCCUCGAGAUGCCCAAAGCCUGGGCCACCUCGAGAUGCUCCUCCACGCCGAAUAAAGCGGACUGCAGAGCCCCGGAGACGACGAGAGCGAGCUCGUUCUCCACCUCAGGCCGUCGGACGCCGUCAUCGAAUUCGCUCGCCAUAGAGCGCAUCCAACCUCUCCGUCACCUCCAUUGCAACGCUACUAGGUCCGGAAACGAGUUCGAGGAGUCCGGUGAGUUCGCGGAGGAAUAUGAGGAACAGUUCCACUCUAAAGAAAUCACAAGUAGGUAUGGUGGACUCUCAUGGCAAAACUGGGGUUGAAGGU